rnacentral:lncRNA from 1 species
UGCCUCAGCCUUCUGAGUAGCUGGUAUUACAGGUGUCCACCACUGCAUCCAGUCUGAAUUUCCUCUUAUCAAAGUUUAAGUCAUGUUUGGACCACAGAUAAUUCACUGAGGCCACCAGCAUCAGAAGUAGAUUUUCUUAAAGAAGGGAUCUUUAGCAGGGUGUGGUGGCACACAACUAUAAUCCCAGGAAUUUGGGAGGCUGAGGCAGGAGGAUUGCAAGUUUGAGGCCAGCCUCAGCAAUUUAGGGGAAACCCUGUCUCAAAACUAAAAACAAGAAGGUCUGGGGAUAUAACUCAGUGGUAGUGUGCCCUGGGUUCAACAGUAACAGAAAAGGAGGAUGGAUCUUUGAGCAGUGUGACCACUACUGUUACCAGAGCCCUAGGCUAGAGGGUUGACUCUGAGGAUCUACUAAGUUAAGUCUGGCCACUCACCCCAAAAAACAAACAGAAAAGGAAAUGAUGAGAAGCAUGAAAGGAACUUUAAUCAGUGUGACUAUUUGGGGAAGACAAG